GCCAGCAGCCAUAUCAUCCUACAACUCCCAGCUGGCAGCUCACUGGAGCCCAGCAGGUAUGAGCCUGGUCAGUACCUGGAGAGGAGACUCCUGGGAAAGCUAAGGCUGCUGCUGGUA
rnacentral:rRNA from 1 species